GUGAUUUCUUUGGCAACACAUAUACUAAAUAUUGAAGCAAUGCAGAGAUUAGGAUGGUCCCUGUGCGUGGUUGACAAGCAAAUUUGUAAAGCAUUUUAUAUUUUA